GACGUAGGGGGCCAGCGUUGCUCGGAAUUACUGGGUGUAAAGGGUUCGUAGGCGGUGUGGCAAGUCGGGAGUGAAAUCUCAGAGCUCAACUCUGAAACUGCACUCGAUACUGCUCUGCUUGAGGACUGGAGAGGAGACUGGAAUUCACGGUGUAGCAGUGAAAUGCGUAGAUAUCGUGAGGAAGACCAGUGGCGAAGGCGGGUCUCUGGACAGUUCCUGACGCUGAGGCGCGAAGGCCAGGGGAGCAAACGG
rnacentral:rRNA from 1 species